AAUACUUUCAACGCCUUCCAUGAUACCGAAAAUAAUUUCAAUAUGAUUUUUAUCUUCAUACAAGUUAUUACCAAGCACCCACGGAACUCUAUUAACUCGUGAUUUUCAUUUUCUUGAAUUGAACUUUCAUAAACUUGGCAAUCACACAAUCAGAAAACACGGCAACAAUUGAUACCAACAUAGAAUUGUUAAUUUUACGUUGAAAUGUUAAAUCACAGGAGUCAAAUUAGGAUGCUGUCAAGUGUUUCCUGUCCUAGAUGCUGAUGCAUGGACUUAAAAAUCUCAUUUCUUUUAUUUGAUUCCUCUCUUUGAUCUUUUGUUUGGUAUAUUAUCCUGCUUGUGUAAUGGAUCCAUGAAAAGUUGGGCCUCAGAGCGCGCAGCCAUUCUCUAUCAGCAUGUGACAUCAUUCAAUUAGCCUCUCGCACCGGAAUCUCUGACUGGAUUGCUGCUGCCUGCACAAAAGCACUGGAAGUACGUUACUUUUUGUUCUGACGCCUUUCUUCAUACAUAUAUUUUGUCUUUUGCUCUAUGUGUUCUUCAUUUAAUAUGUUCUGUUAGCCUUUCUGAUUUCAAAAUCCUUAAUUUCGGGAAACUGAUGAAAUCAAGAUUUUAUAAUCCUUCAGGACUUCUGUUACAUUCUUAUUAUUUUAUUCAAUUUGGGAACUAGUGCCAUUAUCUGUGGUUAUAUCUUGUUUUCUGCUCAAUUUGUCACGUUGGCCAUGGCAAGAGGACCCAGUAGAACUAGAUGAUCUGACUAGGGAUGGCAAUGGAGAGGGGAGGGGAGGGGACCAAUCUUCUUAUACCUAUUCUCGAUAUUUUGCAUAUGUCUCCGUCCCGUUCCCGUUAGAAUUACUUGAAAGAAUCUAUAUCCCCUCCUCAAAUAAUAACAGGGGAUCCCCAAGGGUCCACGAUCCCCGAAUAAUUAAUACAUUUUUUGUUUUCGAUUUUGAGUUAAUCAUAUUAAAAUAAAAAAUUCAAAUAAAAGUAAAGUUUGAAAUAUAUCUUACAUUAAUAUCCAUUACAAAAGUCACAUACAUUAAAUUAGUAAGUAACGCAACAUGUAAGGGAUAUAAACUUCUUUUACAAACUAUCGUGAAUAAAUUAAUAGUCUAAUACAAAAUUGUUACAAAUAAAAUCGAAUUUAGAUUCAAAAUUAACUUUUUCAAUGGUGGCGUGGACACUUUGUAAAUGUAAACUAUUCCUUUUACAAUACAAUAGUUAAGUCAGAGCAAAUCAAGAGCAAAUAUUAUAUUAGAUUAGAUUAAAUUAAAUAUAAAAAUUGUGAUUCACUGUGGGUAAUUAUAACAUCUAAAAAUAAAUAAAUAAAUAAAUUUAAGUUUAAAACAUUUAAUGAAUAUUAAAAUUAAAACAAAAUUUUUGGGUUAAUAGAAUUUAUCCGGUUUUUUUAACGUCCUAAAUAAAAAUUUAGGACUUUAAUUAGUUAAUUAGGCCCAAAAGUUUAAUAAUAUAAAUAUUUUGAUAUUUUUUAUUUUUACAAAUAUUUAUAAUUUUAUAAUUCAAAUUUUAUUAUUUAUUUACUAGUAAUUUUAAAAAAUUAAAAUAAAAUUAAAAAUUAAAAAGGGAAAAUGGGCAGGGGAUGAGGAUUCCACCUCAUCCCCGUCCCCUCCCGGAAUAAGAAAUUGGGUAAAAAAAUUUCUCUGUCCCUUCCCCGAAUAAGAAAUUGAGUAUAAAAUUAUCCUCAUACCCUCUCUGAAUGAGGAAAAUCCCCAAAGGUACCGGUCCCUGUGGGAAUUUUUGCCAUCCACCAUGUGACUCAAGGUCCACAUUAGAAAUACAACCUUGGUGGGGAACAUUUUGUUUAUUAAGAAAUAAUAAGAGUUGAGCAAGUGGUUAGAAGGGAAAAGAUUGGUUGAAGGCUACUUCCGUUGUUUUAUUGGAAGCAAUGUGUGAGACAGGGAUUUGUUUUCCCAUCUGCAAGUGGUCGAGAGGGAGAGAAUUGCCACUCGCUUGGGUUUGUUUCUUUUGCCUUUUUCUUAUCCAACCCCUUCGCCUUAUUCAACGAAAUGUGAAAAGAGUCUUUCUCUCUUUCUCACCGCCUAAUAAGUGUUGUUGGACGUACUAUGAGAGCAAUCGAUCCUAGCGCAUAGUCUCCAUGGUAAUAUGCAGGCUGUUUCUCUGUUUCUUAUAUUUGGAAUGUACUGGCAUGAAGGAUUAGCCUAAUUAUUUUUGAGUUGUCAGACGUUUAGCAUGUGCCUGUGAUGAUUGUUCGUUUUGCAGGAAGGUGUCUCUUCAACCAUUCAGUCAUUCUCUCAUUUAGCCAGAGACUCAUCUUUAGCUUAUUCCAGAGACUUUAACAAACAAUCACUAGGCAGUGAGGAAGGUUGGAAACUUAUAACAUCAAACAUUUUCUGAAAUGGUCUCAAAAGUCAACCUAAGACAACAUUUGGCUGUAGAUUAUGGUUAAAAUUUAGUUUUUACUGAUAUAUGUUGUAGGAUCAUUAGCUUAUCCAAAGAUCUUGUAAAAGUCAGCUGUUAAUAUUGUGUGACAAAUUAAAAGGUUGGAUAGCAAACACGAUAGACACAGUAAACAUUGUUCUAGACACCUGGUUGGCUGGCUAGCUAUUAAAAAUUUGCCACAGCAGAUGUUGCUGGUUUUGGCGGAACUGGUUUGCUGUUCUAGGCUUGGUUUUUAAUUGUAUCAUAGCAUCACAGACAGAGGGGGGGGGGGGGGGGGGGAAAUUAAUUUGAGCUCUUUAAGUACUGACAAGUAAGGCAUAUUUCUGCGAGGAAACUACAUGUUCUAUUAUGCACCAAAUCUCACAACAGAAUAAUCAGACUGCCGUAGUUGACCAUCACUAGAAGAGCUUACUUUGCAGAACUUGCUUUUAAGUUGGACAUAGUCUGUUCGUAGGAUGUUUUUUAUGUGAAUAUUACUGUGUGUUGACCUUGAAGUAUGUCAGUGCAGUUGCGGACAUUUUGCUGUGGUCCUGUGGAGUGAUGAGAAGAAAACAUUUACGUAAUUUACGUACUUCCUUGCUCUGGUUCUGUUAUUUUCUUGGUUUUUCCGUUGUGGAAGAAGCCAUGCUUCUUUUGCUGGUUUCUGCUGUCCCUUUUGGAUAUGGCAUUUUACCAUCAAACAUGUAAGUAUGGAUGGUCAUUAAGGCGCUUUGUAUAUCUUCUAUUGUUCCCUUGUGUGUACUACUUCUCCAAAAACAGCCAUGUUCCCCCCUCGUUCAACAUUUAUGUUAUUCACUUUUCGAAUGUAAAUGGAUGUACUUGUUCUAGUUAGAAAACUUAAAUUUUCACUAUUGUUUUUCCCCUUCACUCUUUAUAUGCUUGCAUGUCUAGGUCUCUGCUGGCAACCAUCCCUCACCAGUCACCCCACUAGAGUUCCCUUUAACAUAUGGCGGAAUUUGUUCUUUCUAAUUGCUUGUUAGAUUAUGCCAUUUCUUCAUAAUUUCUCAGUUCAUUGUCUAGAAUCUAGAGUAUUGCACGUGAAUUUGAUUUUCAAAUAAGCCUUCUCUUGAUUUUGAUGUAGUUACAUCAUUAAGCUCAUUUGUGUCAGAAGAUUAUUUAGUUCUACUGACUAUUUGACUUUUCUGUGCAAAUUUGGCUUCGAUGUUAAGUGCAUAGCUCCGUCUUGUUUUGAAAUUUUAGAACCACAAUAAAAGAUUCCAUGCAAGAAUAGCAUUUUUAAGGAACAUGGGGUUUCAGAGUAAAAGACUGUUGGCUAAAGCAGAUGAUUGGAAUAACUUGUUCAAGGUAUGCAGUGCAGAUUAUAUUAAAGUUUCCAGAGGUGGUCUUCCAAGCAAUUUUUAUGGUAACCAUUUCUUAACGAGUUAAGCAGGAAAUCAAGGUUUUUGUCCGAUAAUUGCACUUGUCAGCCUCAAAGUGACAUAUACUUGCUUUUGCUCUAUGCUCUUGAACUUGUUUCCUUUCCCGGUGAAAGCUUGGCCUUACACUGCAUUGAAAUUUCUACAGGUUGCAGGUUCUAUUUAUCUUUUCAAAUUGAUGUUGCAGUCUUCACUUGGUCAAUCGGUUUAGCUAAGCAACUCUUGAUCUUCCUAUCCCUCAGUGGUCCGAUUUGAUGUUCAAGGUUUUUCCAUUUUCAAAUUGAUAUUGUUCGAAACUCAAUGCAGCUCUGGCAUUUGCAUUCACUGCAUUCUUCGUCUUUGAGCAACAAGAAAUUGAUGGAUUAGCAAAAUUCUUAAUGACUACAAGAUCCAAUGAAUGAAUACAUGAGAGUUUCUUUUAGCUCGUUUUAGAUGCUUGUACAUGAUUUGUUCGCUCGAUUAGUUGCUUGUAUCAAAUUAAUUGCGAGAUGGUCGUGUCCCCAAGAAACGGAAAAAGAAAAAUAGAUUGGGGGUAUUUGGCUACAUUGACUUGGUGCAAAUUCAUAUCCUUUUAUUUUCAUUAACAGUUAAAACUAAUCAUUAUUAACACAUCUGUGACUGUAAACACAUGAUGUUGAAAUGGAAUUUGCUAGCCAAAUUCAGAAUUUACUAGCAAGCUUUUCU
rnacentral:lncRNA from 1 species